AUGGCGAUGACGAUGGCUGACGACUACUACGCGGGGGAUCUGGACGACGUCGUGCACCGGCUGCUGCCGCGGGAAAUCUUGGCGGACGUGGGCAUCGUCGUGGCCGGCGGCCGCGCCCCGCGUUCGUGCGAGGUGAGGCACCGCAGCGACGACCACUCCGCUUUGGUGGAGGACCUCGCGGCGCACCUCGUAGGCAUCCUCGGCCUUGACGGCGCGAGAGAGCAGCGCGCCCAUGCCCAUCCUCCGCACGUGCGCCAUGAGCAGGGACCCCGUGUCCGUGAUGGGAUGGAGGCUCUCGUCGGCGGUGGCCAAGGUGGAGCUGGGCGUCACGCGCCGCCUCCCUGCUGGAAUAACGGUGCCGUGCCGCCGCGGCUUCCGAGGCUUGAGCCGGCCGCGCCAGUCCCCGCCUUCGCGAAUUGCCAUCCUCCGGCAAUGCGCCACGGCAGUGGCACCGGCACCGGCGUGUUCCUGCCGCGCCCGGAGGCAUACCUGCAAAACAGUGCAUCCUCCGCAUCCCCCAUCCCCAGGAACGGUGCGAAGCCGCCGCGGAUGCUGAGAAAGGAGGCUGUCAUUUUCGCGAUGCGGCAGCAGCAGCAGCUGAUGCACCUGCGGGCGAUGGCGGCGGAGAUGGAGCGGCAGAGGGAAGCGUUCGCCGCAGCGUUCCAAGGCUGCCCUGCGCUCGCGGCGCCACGGCAAUGGACGUACUGA
rnacentral:rRNA from 1 species